rnacentral:tmRNA from 1 species
GGGGGCGAAUGGCUUCGACCGGAUGGCGGAGAGCCAAGUUGCAUGCCCAGGACGCCGGUUGGCCUGGCUAAUCAUCCGGCACCAAACCUUAAUUGGCAACUAUCAGUAUGCCAUGGCUGCCUAAACCGGCAGCCCGUCCUUCCUGACUUUGCCUGUGGGUUAGGUAAGGGCGUCAAAUAGCAGGCUGGCCGAGCCGGUUGUUCGGGCCGGCUCCGGCGAGAACCCUCCGGAAUAGCCGAAUCGAGAGCCUGUCGUUUGGCGCUUGAGGAGGCGAAACAACAAUGAAGCGACUAAGCAUGUAGACGCUUGUCUUGAAGCAUCUCGGGACGGGGGUUCGAAUCCCCCCGCCUCCAUUC